CUACGGGUCGCUGCAGUGAGGAAUAUUGCACAAUGGGGGGAACCCUGAUGCAGCAACGCCGCGUGGAGGAUGACGCAUUUCGGUGUGUAAACUCCUUUUAUAUGUCAAGAAAAUGACGGUAGCAUAUGAAUAAGCACCGGCUAACUCCGUGCCAGCAGCCGCGGUGAAUACGGAGGGUGCAAGCGUUACUCGGAAUCAUUGGGCGUAAAGGACGCGUAGGCGGGUUGGAAAGUCAGGUGUGAAAUCCUACAGCUUAACUGUAGAACUGCACUUGAAACUUCUAAUCUAGAGUAUGGGAGGGGAGAUGGAAUUAGUGGUGUAGGGGUAAAAUCCGUAGAUAUCACUAGGAAUACCUAAAGCGAAGGCGAUCUCCUGGAACAUUACUGACGCUAAGGCGUGAAAGCGUGGGGAGCAAACAGGAUUAGAUACCCGAGUAGUC
rnacentral:rRNA from 1 species